AACGAACGCUGGCGGCAGGCCUAACACAUGCAAGUCGAACGGGUGUAGCAAUACAUCAGUGGCGCACGGGAGAGUAACGCGUGGGAACCUACCUUUUGGUUCGGGAUAACGUCGGGAAACUGACGCUAAUACCGGAUACUCCCUCCGGGGGAAAGAUUUAUCGCCGAUAGAUGGGCCCGCGUUAGAUUAGCUAGUUGGUGAGGUAAUGGCUCACCAAGGCUACGAUCUAUAGCUGGUCUGAGAGGAUGAUCAGCCUCACUGGGACUGGGACACGGCCCAGACUCCUACGGGAGGCAGCAGUGGGGAAUAUUGGACAAUGGGGGCAACCCUGAUCCAGCCAUGCCGCGUGAAUGAUGAAGGCCUUCGGGUUGUAAAGUUCUUUUGGUAGGGACGAUGAUGACGGUACCUACAGAAUAAGCUCCGGCUAACUUCGUGCCAGCAGCCGCCGUAACAC
rnacentral:rRNA from 1 species